rnacentral:snRNA from 1 species
UUCCAAAAAUACUGAAUUUAUACUAAAAUUGGGACCACACAGAUAAGAUUAGCAUAGACCCUGUGCAAUGACUGCACACAAAUUCAUGAAGCAUUCCAUAUUUUU